GUGCAGCAGUCGCGAAAACUCCGCAAUGCGCGAAAGCGUGACGGGGGAACCCCAAGUGCCGUUGGUCUUCUGAUCGACGGCUUUUGUGGAGUCUAGGAAGCUCCACGAAUAAGGGCUGGGUAAGUCGGGUGCCAGCCGCCGCGGUAAUACCCGCAGCCCAAGUGGUGGUCGCGAUUAUUGGGCCUAAAGCGCUCGUAGCCGGACUAGCAAGUCCCUUGUGAAAUCGGGCGGCCUAACCGUUCGGCUUGCAAGGGAUACUGCUGGCCUUGAGGCCGGAAGACGCCGAGGGUACUCUGGGGGUAACGGUGAAAUGCUGUAAUCCUCGGGGGAACACCAGUGGCGAAGGCGGAGCGCCAGAGCACGCCCGACGGUGAGGGACGAAAGCUAGGGGAGCAAACGGGAUUAGAUACCCCGGUAGUCC
rnacentral:rRNA from 1 species